GUGAGGAAUAUUGGUCAAUGGGCGGGAGCCUGAACCAGCCAAGUCGCGUGAAGGAAGAAGGAUCUAUGGUUCGUAAACUUCUUUUGUAGGGGAAUAAAGUGCAGGACGUGUCCUGUUUUGUAUGUACCCUGAGAAUAAGGAUCGGCUAACUCCGUGCCAGCAGCCGCGGUAAUACGGAGGAUCCGAGCGUUAUCCGGAUUUAUUGGGUUUAAAGGGUGCGUAGGUGGUUUGAUAAGUCAGCGGUGAAAGUUUGCAGCUUAACUGUAAAAAUGCCGUUGAAACUGUCGGACUUGAGUGUAAAUGAGGUAGGCGGAAUGCGUGGUGUAGCGGUGAAAUGCAUAGAUAUCACGCAGAACUCCGAUUGCGAAGGCAGCUUACUAAGCUACAACUGACACUGAAGCACGAAAGCGUGGGGAUCAAACAGGAUUAGAAACCCUGGUAGUCC
rnacentral:rRNA from 1 species